GCUAAGCUUGUGAAGGAAGACUUACGUGCACACCCUUAGCUAGAUGGGAAAUCUUGCAGGCAAACAACUGCUGCAUACAUGAUUCCUGACCUCAGUUGGGAAUGCCAUUUCAGAUUUCCAUGAAUGAAGUACCAAACAGGGCUUCUUUCAGCCACAGCCAAUUUGCCCAAACUUCAAGAGGCCAUCUUCAUGCCUUCCCACUCAACCAGAAUCAGAUGCACACACAGCAAGAAUUUAAGACAGAAUUGGAUUGCCUGGUCCAGUCCAUCACUCAUGAGGAGAAUACUGCAAAGUGACAGAAGAAUUGACACUCCUGGAAAUGUCAUCAGUACAUAGUGCUGAGAGUAAUUUCACUCCAAGAAGUGUGGCUCCACAAGCUCAGAAAACCUGACUUGGUGUAAUUAAAUAUUAGAUGCUAUC